rnacentral:lncRNA from 1 species
GAAAUUUGAAUAGGAUGGACAACUUUGGUAUUUAGUAGUGAGAAGUUGGAUAUUAUUUUGGGAACCGUCUCAAACGUUUGGUUGUGUCUUGGAUACGCAUGCAUAUUCGAGAUAUUUUUUGCAUUGGGUGGUAGGGAAAAUCUCAGCCACAAUAGAGAGAAGCCCAUAAAUUUGGUGUGCCUAUUGUCACGAGAGGACGUUGAUUUUGAUUUUUUACUUGUAGGUUCAUUAUUUGUUUGCCAUUUGAAAGAGUGGAUUUUGGAUUUUGGAUUUUGGUUGCAUAUAUCAUAUGUGUCCCAAUAGAAAUUUGGAUUUUGGUACUGUCUUUAUAGGCAGUGGCCAUACUUGUAAGACUUUGGAUACGUAAAAUCAGAUUUUGCAUGAUGGAUCUUCCUUUGAUUUGUUUGAUGUUCGGUAUGUUCCAGACUUGAUUCAGAAUCUCAUCUCAUUGGGAACUUUAGAGUCUACCGAUUUGGUAAUCACUUUGGUAGGUAGGGCUCUAAAGAUUUGUUUGUAUGCUUUGGUUGUGAUGAUGGGUACUUGACACAACAACUUGUAUUCCGUUCAAGGGAAGACUGUUAAAGGUGGAGCAACCAUCGUUGUUAGGAAGAUUGGAGAAUUUGUUUUGGAUACUACCAAUUGGCGACAAAUGCACUAUUUUGAUUAAAAGGCCUUGCAAGAGCUAGGAAAGCACACUUAGUUUGGGUAAGCAUUAUGACAUAGGGGAGCAACUAGAAGUCAAGUUUUAGAUGACAAUCAAUUAGCUAUUUGGUUCACUUAGCUUUGUUUGGGAGCUUGCAAUUGUUGCUUUUUUUAGUAGUAAGUAUCAAUUUAGUUCGUUAGUUAGUUCUUGUUGCUAUUGGGUCUAUCUCUUUAAUUUUGGUUUUGGUUUUCAAAAAUCGCAUUCGUUUUUGAAGUUGGUGGAAGAUAAAUUGUUUGGGACUAACUUUGAUUUUGAAUUUGAGUAAGAAAAUUUGGUUUGGAUAUUGUGCACUGCAGAUUUGAUCUUCGGGAUUAGGUUCAAUUGGUUAGACUUAAUCCAUUUGGAUUUGUUUGGGCACUUUUAGGAUGCAUACGCCAUAGGGUACAAUUUAGGGAUGACCAGGAAGACAGUUUCAUUAAUUUUGCAUCUUGGGUCUUCUGUUUGAUUAGAAUUUGUAAUUUGGUUUGAAUAUCAAAACUUGAAAUUUGGAGUUAUUGCUAUUCAUUUUUUGGUUAUGAAAUUUGUUCAAAACUUCAUAAAUUUGGCUCUUUUGUUUGGUGUUUUGAUAUUUUAAAAAUUUGUUAGGACAUUUCGUGAUCUACAGUUUGUUUAUUUUGUCAUGUGAGAGCUUGUAUUGCUCCCUUUAAAGUUUGAUUUGGAUCUCUAGACUCUUCCUUGAUUCAACCUUUGGUGAGAGUUUUGUUUGGUUAGUUUGAUUCAAUGUGUCCUGAGCAUUCGUUUGGCUUGGAAGAUUUGUUUACAUGCCUCCACUUUUCUUUGUGAUUCACACUUGGUUUAGGUUUAUUCUGAGUAUUUGCUUAGCCAAGUAAUUCAUUUAUUCUUUGGUUUGUUCGAAUGUCAUUUGAAGAUUUAUUUUGAAGCUCGGAUUGGUUUGAAGGUAGUUUUGUAGACAAGUUAAAGAUUUUGGCCUCUUUGAUUUGUUUUGGU